rnacentral:lncRNA from 1 species
GGCAAGGACUAUGUCCUAUUCCACCUUGAAUUCUCAUCACCAAGCGGAACGCCUGACACCUAAUCUAGUCAGUGCUUACUAAGUGCUCAUUAUCAAUGCAAGAAUAACAGAGCUAUGGAACCUGGCAGCCACCUCUUUUCUUUGGGCCUCAGUCUUCUCAUGCAGAACUUGGGAUUGGACUAAAUUGGAUCUCCUAGGCUGCCUCUGACUCUAACAAUUCUCUGAUUUAAAUUAUUCUUCAUCUGGAUGUAAUCCACCUUGCUUUUCCAUCCCAGGCUCUGUUCUCACUCAUGGCUGAUGGGCAAAGGCGACUAAGGAGGCACGGCUCCGUGAGGAUGUCCUUACAACUUUGCAACCCCCAAGGAAAAAGAGGUUGUUUUCCCAAUAUCUACUGUAAAACCUAAGAGGAAAAUUUCACGUUGCUGCAGCUUGGAUCAUGCAUUUAUCAUUUGGACCACCUCUGAGGACAGGGAGUUGCAAUGUGGAUUUUAUGGAAUAGAUGCUAUGUGGUGGAAUCCUGAGUCACGGCCAAACAGCAAAUGCCAGCAAGAGUAGAGUAGGAGGCAUUUCUGUGUACACUUUGGGAAAAAGUCCAUUCCUCACUUGGUUUCAUUUCUGGCCUGAGCCGCUGUGUCCUCCACCUGAAGCCCUGACCUCUCCGUUACUGACUGGAUCCCAAUGUGCCACAGUUCACCUGCAUAAGGAGGGGGUCGAAGGUGAGGAAAUGAGACAUCAAAAGAUUAAGUGACUUGCUAAAAUUUACACUGCCUACGAAAGCUGACCUGGAAUGUGAACCAGAAAUUGUCCUUAACCAAAUCACCUCACUGUCUCUCAAGAGAUGGGGUCUCACUACAUUGCCCAGGCUGGCUCUCAAA